GGGGCACCAUGUGAGCCACUGGCAAGAGAGGGCACCAGCAGGAGGCAUCCUCUAUAAGGCAGCCAUCUAACUCCUGCCACAGCACUUGUCCAUAUCCUGGAAUGUUCCAGCAUUUGCCUCUGUUCAAACGAUCCCUCCAGAACCGUGCUACCCUGUCUUCCUUCAAACAUGCUGCGUUGCUCCCUUUCUACUGCCUUGAUAACCCUCCACUGCAUUAGCCCUUCGUUUGUUUACUUAGUGUGUGUGUGUGUGUGUGUGUGUGUGUGUGUGUGUGUGUGUGUGUGUGUGUGUGUGUGCCCAUGUGCACACCUGAGUGGAUUUGUACACCUCAUCUUCACAGGUGCCCAGGAGGUGAGUCCCCUGGAACUGGAGUCACAGGAAGUUGUGAGCCGCCUGAUGUGGGGCUGAGAACCAAACUCAGAUCCUCUGCAAGAGCACUAAACUCUCUUCAUAGCUGAGCUGUCUCUCCAGCUCCACAUUUGCCCUGUCUUUCCAGACCCCUGUAUUGUUCCUUUCUUGUUUGCUUGUUGUCUGUCUCCCUCACUUGAAUAGAUUUGAUGAAGGCA
rnacentral:lncRNA from 1 species